CAUGGUUUUCAGCAUUCUUAUUUCUAUGAAGCACAGUUCUCAUUAUCUGCGUUUUUAAGGGGUUUGUGCUGAGAAAAACCUUUCCUGCAGCUACCUGAACAAAAAAACUCUGUUCAGACUGCUGGUUAAGUGACUUGUUUAUGGCCAAAUAAACGUUAGGCCAGCUGUCAGGCUUUGUGUUUAUAGCUAGCAGAAAGAAUUGCUAAUUGUCUGGGCAGCUGAUAGCACUGGAGUUAAAAAUGUUUAAAGUCAUAGAGGCUGUAAUGGCGAACAACCCCCAGGGAAAAGACUGGAGUCCUGGUUAAACGUGAGGUUCUGUACUGCAGGAAAGACUCAGAAGAGAUUCAAAUUGUGAAAGUUAAUGCCAGAUAGCCACAGGAUUCUGCAGACAAACCUCUUUCCUCAGUGAUGGAUAUCCUCCUGUGCAGGUGAAGUGUUACAAGUGAUUUCAGAUUUGCUGAGAAAUCCCAGGCAGCCUGUUGUCCAGAAAUGGAAGUCUUGACUAGGAGCCCACCAGUUCAGAAAUACCCAAGAAGUGUUGAAAAGUCUGAGACCUAGUAACAUCCAGUGCUGUCUGAGAAAAGUCUGCCUCCCCAUGUUCUUCCAUCAUAACUGCUGAGCAGAGCACAUUCCACAAGUAACAGAAGAGAGAAAGGGGUUACUCAUGCUCUGAGUGUUCCAAUAUAUUUCUGAGGAAGUGAUAUAACACAGGCUUGCUCAAGGAAGAGUGCAGCAUACAGUGCAACACAAGGGGACCUCAAGGUCCAGCCUUCAACACCUUUGGAGGCACACGGGGCUUUGAAGAAGCAAGGUGAAAAUGUCUGGAAAUUCCCAGAAAGGAGAAUGUACCCUACCACCGAAGGCUGUCAGACAAAAUAUAGUAGUACUGAUUCAUGUCUUCACUUUCUAUCCUCAGCUUCUUUCUCUUUGAACAAGAGUUCUUUCAUUUUUACCACUCUAUGUUGUUCACAGUCAAAAUGCUACAACUCCAGAUAGGAGGCGUGAACAGGAGGGACGCUAGACGAAUAAAUUUCACACUGUUCAUAACUUGCUACAUUAUGAUUCUUCCAAGAAAACUUCACUUUGUCCUAAGAUGUACCUUUAGGUUAAGUAUUAACAAAAUGACUACGGUUUUGCGGUGAGUUUUUCAAGAGGUCAAUAAACUCUGUUGAAACAGUCAUUGUACAAAGGACAUCUCCCUCUUUCAUUCAUGAGGAAAGAGAGCAAC